AGGAAGGGUAAGCUUGUGAAAGGGCAUGGUAAGGCUGGGGAACAGCCAGAACUYUGUACCCCUAGGAGGGUGGAUCCCACCCCGUGGGGGGCACUGCCCACAGAGCUGCUGAGGAGCUCCAGUGACAGGUCUCUGGUGGUAGAGAAGAGACCGCGCCACAGGGCUGCCCAGGGCAAAGGCAGUGGCAAGGAGAACCUCGUUGUGGCUCUGGAGGCGAUAAAGCCUGCUGAGCCGAAGGCUGGCCCUGCCAAGCCCUCCAGCAUAGGGGACAUUAGCACGGCCAARUCCAAACCCUGUCCGUCCGCACAGAAAAAACAACUGUUAGCAGUUGAGAGAAAAGUGAGGGAGAGAUUUGUYGUGGAUUCWAAGGCAAUCCAAAUAAAGGGCGCAGCCAAAGGUCAAAGUGCAGAGGUCAAAAAGACUCUCUUAGAGGUCAACUCUAUAUCUACAAAGGUGAAAAGUCAACAUGUAGCUGUUAGGAGGACACCAGAUAGAAAGAGUGGCAGACAKUCACAAGGCCUUAAGCUAACUGAUGCACUGCCUGUGGACAAGACAACUGAACCAGACCUGGUGUCUGAAGUGCCACAAAAAACGACGAAUGAAAACACAGAAAGAGAAAAGAACAAACCAAAGACUGAACMACCUGAACAGACACCGCUGCGCAGCUUACUGACCGGAGUGUCCUCUCUGGGGUCAGGUGUGGGGCUAGUGACAGCCAGACAGUUUGGUUCUCCCUCAGACAGUGAGUCAGUCCGGAGUCAGAGCAGGGCCCAGAGGUUCAGCAGACARAGUGCUGAGGACGCCCAGUCUUCCUGGAGCCAGUCAUCUGCAUCCUCCGAACCAGGAGGCAAGAGAACAGCAGUCCGCAUCAACAUCAUCCCCGCCCAGGGGGUGGAGGAGGAGCAAUGCAGGUCCUACUCUGGUCCCCCAGACAACAGAGAACAGGAGGAGAGGAGAGGGGAGGAGAGUGGAGACGAGACGGGGARCAGCGACRAUCAGACACCGGCCAAGCAGGAGAGUGAGRGUGAAGAGGAAGAGAGUGAGGGAGGGGUUGGAAUGAGGAGGGCAGAAAGUGGGGGUGGAAAAGRAGUGGCCAAGAGCCGUKAUGAGGUGACAGAUGAGGAAAACRGUGAGRAUGAUGACACAGUGAAGGUAGAGGGGGAGGAUGGAGGGAUCUCUGAAUUAGAGGAGGAGAGCGAGGGAGGAGAUGAGCCAUGUAAGACUGAAACAGAUCAGGGAGACGAACGGGAUUAUGUCGAGUCGGAGGAUGCCAGAGAAAAAAGAGGAGAGUGA
rnacentral:lncRNA from 1 species